UCUUCUUUCCUGUUCUCUUUGAUUUGUUUUUGCAGGUUGGUAGGAUGGCUGGGCAAUUUGCAAAGCCAAGGUCAGACCCAUUUGAGAUUAAAGACGGAGUUAAGUUACCGAGUUAUCGAGGAGAUAAUGUGAAUGGCGAUGCUUUUGAUGAGAAAUCUAGAGUGUAUGCCCUUCAAAGAUUGAUUAGAGCUUAUCUUCAAUCUGUUGGUACAUUGAAUCUCCUUAGACCAUUUUCUACCGGUGGUUAUGCUGCUAUGCAAAGAGUCUCACAAUGGAAUCUCGAUUUUGUUAAGCAUAGCGAACAAUGAGACAGUACAUGGAGCUUGCUCGGAGAGUUGAUGAAGCUCUGGGAUUCAUGGCUGUAGCCGGAAUAGCCAUCGACGAACCUCAAAUGAACACUGUUGAUUUUUGAACAUCCCAUGAAUGCCUCCAUUUACCAUACGAGCAAGCCUUGACCAGAAAGCAUUCUACUACUGGCCUCUAUUAUGACUGUUCUGCUCACUUGCUUUGGGUAGGUGAGAGGACUCGGCAGUUGGAUGGAGCACAUGUUGAGUUUCUUCGAGGCAUAUCGAACCAUAUUGGUAUAAAGUGAGUGA